UACGGAGGGUGCAAGCGUUAUCCGGAUUUACUGGGUUUAAAGGGUGCGUAGGUGGAUAAGUAAGUCAGUGGUGAAAUCCCCGGGCUUAACCUGGGAACUGCGUUUCUAACUGGCAGGCUUGAGUGUGGCAGAGGGGGGUAGAAUUCCACGUGUAGCAGUGAAAUGCGUAGAGAUGUGGAGGAACACCGAUGGCGAAGGCAGCCCCCUGGGUCAAGAUUGACGCUCAUGCACGAAAGCGUGGGGAGCAAACAGG
rnacentral:rRNA from 1 species